rnacentral:misc_RNA from 1 species
AUGAAACUUCAAAGUCGGCUUGGUCGUCUGUGCUGGUGGAGACACAUGUGCACGUCGACAAAGUCGCAAACCCCACACACCUGUGCAUCUAUGACUCUGAGUACCGCUUGCAUGGGCCGUCAAACGCCCUGGUACUCGAGUAACUUUCACACACUCUGAAUGUAAUGGAAUGUCUAUUGUACAAUGUACAACCAAAAA